CGGUAGGUCUACUCUAGAACUUUCUCCAUCUGUCGGUAGGUCUACUCUAGAACUUUCUACAGCUGUCGGUAGGUCUGCUCUAGAACUUUCUCCAGCUGUCGGUAGGUCUGCUCUAGAACUUUCUCCAGCUGUCGGUAGGUCUGCUCUAGAACUUUCUCCAGCUGUCGGUAGGUCUGCUCUAGAACUUUCUCCAGCUGUCGGUAGGUCUGCUCUAGAACUUUCUCCAGCUGUCGGUAGGUCUGCUCUAGAACUUUCUCCAGCUGUCGGUAGGUCUAUUCUAGAACUUUCUCCAGCUGUCGGUAGGUCUACUCUA